ACCCAGAAAUUUGGAAUUUUUCCUGCAACGUGCUAUGUUGUUGAGGCCACAGACUAGCGCUGGGAGGAACCACGGAGACUCUUUUACUUGCUCUCUGCCUGGGCUCUUUAAUGCUUGGCUGUCGUUUAAAAAAUGAUGACCCAAAUCUUUGCCAUUUGCCAAGUGUGAGUACUUUGUGGUAGAGAGGAAUGCGGUUCUCUUUGAUUCUGGAAUUCCUCCUGGUUUCCCUGCGUGGGUGGAAAAAGAGCCAAGAAUGUAAGUCAUUCGGAUUCUCUUAUGUUCUAAAGAAACAAAAUGAAACAAUCUAUCCUUAUACAGAUUUUUACAUUUGAUGCUGAUGAGCUUUCCUUUCACAAGAUAGAUACCUUCAUCGUUUUUCUUAUGCUUUUACUAGAAAAUGUAAAACCUUGAUUUCCUUUUAAGUGAAAUAGAGGGAAAAAGUCCUUUUUAAAAGAAUAGGCACAAGGGAUGUUUUUCUUAAUUAUAAAGACAGUAUUUAGAGUAAGAUAAAAGUAUAAUUGCAGUUGCUUAAGGCUUGAACAGUUUUCAGGAAAAAAAGUCCCGAAUGUUACUUUCUCAGUCAAUUUCAAUAAAUUUCUCAGGGGUCUAACAUUUAUUUCAACCCCAGCCAUACAUUUUCUUCCUAAGUGGUCUUUUGCAUUGACAGUAUGUAGUGUGAGAGACUAAUAAGAUGAUCGUGCAAUUCCAGUGAUAUUCUGGUUUGCCUAUCAUUUAAUGAUUAUCAAUUAAUCAUUUAAUACCCUUUAAUGGCCAACUUGAUUUUCAGGGUUUUGUUAGAUAAGACCAUACAGUG
rnacentral:lncRNA from 1 species